rnacentral:rRNA from 1 species
GAUGAACGCUGGCGGCGUGCCUAAUACAUGCAAGUCGAGCGAACGGACGAGAAGCUUGCUUCUCUGAUGUUAGCGGCGGACGGGUGAGUAACACGUGGAUAACCUACCUAUAAGACUGGGAUAACUUCGGGAAACCGGAGCUAAUACCGGAUGAUAUUUUGAACCGCAUGGUUCAAAAGUGAAAGACGGUCUUGCUGUCACUUAUAGAUGGAUCCGCGCUGCAUUAGCUAGUUGGUAAGGUAAUGGCUUACCAAGGCAACGAUGCAUAGCCGACCUGAGAGGGUGAUCGGCCACACUGGAACUGAGACACGGUCCAGACUCCUACGGGAGGCAGCAGUAGGGAAUCUUCCGCAAUGGGCGAAAGCCUGACGGAGCAACGCCGCGUGAGUGAUGAAGGUCUUCGGAUCGUAAAACUCUGUUAUUAGGGAAGAGCAUAUGUGUAAGUAACUGUGCACAUCUUGACGGUACCUAAUCAGAAAGCCACGGCUAACUACGUG